rnacentral:rRNA from 1 species
CAAUAGCGUAUAUUUAAGUUGUUGCAGUUAAAAAGCUCGUAGUUGGAUUUCGGAUGGGAUUUGCCGGUCCGUCGUUACGAUGUGCACUGGCCAGUCCUAUCUUGUUGUCGGGGACUAGCUCCUUGGAUUCACUUCCUGGGACUAGGAGCUGACGAGGUUACUUUGAGUAAAUUAGAGUGUUCAAAGCAAGCCUACGCUCUGAAUACAUUAACAUGGAAUAACACGAUAGGACUCUGGCUUAUCUUGUUGGUCUGUGAGACCAGAGUAAUGAUUAAGAGGGACAGUCGGGGACAUUCGUAUUUCAUUGUCAGAGGUGAAAUUCUUGGAUUUAUGAAAGACGAACUUCUGCGAAAGCAUUUGUCAAGGAUGUUUUCAUUAA